rnacentral:miRNA from 1 species
CACCUCAUCAACCGGAAGGGAUUCCUUCCGGCUGAUGAGGUUGUCACACCUCAUCAACCGGAAGGAAUCCCUUCCGGUUGAUGAGGUU